ACAACAAAAUCUUCACCACCCAACAGAAAAAAAAACUUUAACUAUGGGCUGAGCAGACAACAUUAUAAUAUAUAUAUAUUUAGACAUGAAGAUUUCUGAGUGCUUCAGAGAGAGGUUUGAGGAUGGAGAAGCUUUUGUCCGAGACGUCAGAGGGGAUGGAAAUUGUUUAAGCAGGACUAUAAGUGUCUUGCUGCAUGGGAAUGAAACCCACAGGGUUCUACUCAGAGCUCAUAUUUUGGCGUUUUAUGAGCAUUCUAAUG